rnacentral:ncRNA from 1 species
AUCCCGUAGGGAGAAUACCCUCGUUGGAAGCCUGCUCAAUGGGGAGUAGUAGUAGUAAAACAAUUACAACUCAAAUCAAAACUUACAGAUAAAUCAUUUAAAUGUAAACCAAUCACUUACAAAAAUUAAAUAUUAAUUAAAUUAGCUAACAAGUUACACACAAAUGCAGCAUAGCUCCGACCUUCUUGGGAGGCCAAAACCAGCCCGUAUUAUGUGGUGACUGUAUAACAUGGGGCUGAUUGCACGGGUUCGCCGAGGCGACUUAUCUUCAAGUGUCGAUAAAUUGUCGAUGAUAGUUUACUCGCCUACCAUAGUCGUAACGUAUCAUGGGGAAUUAGAUUCUGACAAAUGGCUACCAUAUCCACAGAAGGCAGCAAGCACGCAAAUCACCCAGUCCCAGAAUGGAGAAGUAGUGACGAAAAACAGCAGUACCAGAAACUUUUGAGACCACUUAACUGGCUUGGAUACACUGUAAAUCCAUUAACGAAGAUCAAUUGGGGCAAUUCUGGGGCCAGCAGCAGCUGUAAUUCCAGCUGCAAUAGCGCAUAUUAAAGCUGUUGCAGUUAAAAAGAUCGUAGUUUAAUUGUAGUGGUCCGUCUACCAUUGGCUGAUGCCUCUUUUGUGCAGCCAGCCAGUUUCCUUUGAUGACCUUAAUCGGUUUUCUUCGUUGUUACUUCGAAAAACGUAGAGAGCUCAAAGUAGUCGUAAUGCCUCAAUAGUGGUGCAUGGAAUAAUAAAAUAGAACCUCGGUUCUAUUUUGUUGGUUUUCGGAAUCCUAAGUAAUGAUCCUUAGAAUUAGUCAUCAAGAAAUAAAAUUGUUAUCUACGCUAACAUCUG